AUGUUUAAUUCUAUUUGGAGUCUAAAACAAACUUUUGUAUUUUUGUACCUCAUGUGAAAUUUGAUUGUGAAUGAUUUUUUUAUAGUAAAAACUUUUGAAGUUUUCUAAUCUAGAUAAAUUAUAUUAUGCAAUUGAUUUGAAGAAAAUAAAAACUUCACAUAGUAAGUCAAUGUUGGACUUUUGACUUCCCAUAAACAUCACAAUUAUAUAGAAACAAAUUGUACAAAAAAAAUUAUUCUUUAUUGUUUGUAUUCUAAAUACUAAGUGGUAUGUCUAUUUGUGAUUGAGGAAAAAUGUCAGUGACUUGGAAACAUUGUGUAAAGAUUGUCAAAUGAAAUUGAAUUACUAUAAUCUUUUUUUUGUAGAAUAAUAUAUUCAAAAGAGGUUUUAUGUUACCAAGAACACUUUGAUAACAUGGGGAAAAAUGUUGAAAAACAAUUUUCAAAUACUUUAAAAAUAUUUUUAAGAUCAUGUUAUAAAUGUGGACAAAGAUAAAUUAGAUAGAAAAUAUAAUUUAAAUUUGGAGCACAAGAUAAGAAAUUUGAUGAUACUUUUGUACUAUAUUAUACCCAUAAAAGUCACGGAGUAUAUUUUAUAUUGUGGCCGUUGAGUUUCUCUUUUAAUAAUAUAUGGUAUGGUAACAUAAAACUACCAAAUUAUAUUAUACUUGUUUAAAAUGAGUCAGUUCUUUUAUGAAAAACGUACACUUAAAAUGUUGUGACUUUUCAUGAAAAUAUAUCUCUAUUAAAGAUAUAUAUAUGUAAAAACAUGAAUUUUGUAUUGUCUUUAUUGGACCAGAUGAAACAUUAUUCAUGGGUAGUUCUAUAACAAUGAAAUUGAAAGUUAUGGAAAGGUCCUUCCAAUAAGAACAUUUGACAAGGUGAAGACUCUAAUAAUAUUUGUAUCACACAAAAUUGUAAGAAAUAGGAACAAAUAUUUGUGAGGAAAAACUACCUCGCAAAGUGAUUUUCAAACUCAAUAUUUUAAUUUUUUCCUACUUGCUUGAGCCAAACUGUUUGUAACAUAAACACUUGGGGGAAUGUCAAUUACAAAACACUGAUUAUCUUAUAUUUUUUUUCUAACUUUGAGUGCAAAAAUGUCAAGUUUAUGUGAAAUCUAAGUAUGCUUAACAUUUUUAUAAAUCUGUUGAAAGAAAUUCUAAUCCCUUAGAGUUAAUUUACACUGACAUUUGUGAUAUAAAGAUAACACCAGGCUGUGGUGGGAAAAUGUAUCUCAUACCUUUCGUUUACAAUUGCAUUAGAACUGACUAUUUCUAUUUGAUGAAUGUAAAGGAUGAUACAAAACAAACGUCUAACCUAUAUGAUAACGAAGUUGAAAAUUAAUUGGGAGAAAGAUAAGAAGUGAUAAGGAUGGAGAGUAUAAAUCUCGUUGUGGAGACAUAUGUUUGGGAACUGAAAUUAUCCAUCAAACUGCCGCCCUAUUCACCUCAAUCUAAUGAAAAACCAAACUUUGAAAUACAUGAUUGAUGAAUUAUUUAUAAGUUCAGGUUUACCAGAAAAUGUGUGUGGAGGAACUAUCCUUACUUCACAAGGGAAUAAUAAAAAGAUUUGUCUUUUCAUAAAGAAAGCAAUUUUGUUUGUUUAGGACAUAAUCUAUUCAGUACGAGUAAAGGAAAGGAAGGAAAUGUAACUUGAAAUAUUUUAACUGUGGGGUGUCUAGCGAAAGACCAAGUUCCUAUUCCUAAAAGGAUUAAAAUAGGAUCUAGCGAAGGGUCUAAAAACAUUAGAAAAACGGGGAAUGUACUAAAUAAAGAUAUUUAGAGGCGUAGUAAAUGUCAAAGGACAUCUACUUCCUUCAGAUAUGAAUUUGUAACUUUUUUUAUAUCUUAUAUUAGAUUAAUCCUUUUGGAAAGAUGGUGUCAAUAGUGAGAUUAAUUUAAUCGUGAGCAACCAUAUUAGAAGUUAUUUGAUUUUUUUCCAAGAAAAUAAACCUUUGGGUUUAGAAUGAGUCCUAGAUGGAAAAUGUAAGGUGAUGGAACUAUUUACAAGUACAAAGCAAGACUUUUUGUGAAAGGUUGUAGACAAAAAUAAGGUUUUUAUUGUGUCAACACAUACUCAUCAUUAAAUAUAAUUAUAUUCAUUCAGAUGUUAAUUACAUUAGCUACGAUAUAGGAUCUCCACAUUCAUCAAAUGUAUGUGAAAAUAAUUUUCAUAAAUGGAGAAUUGUAGGAAGAAAUUUACAUGGAACAACUUGAAGGUUUGUUCUUAGUAAAGAAAAGAAAAUGUGUGAACUUGUGAAGUCACUUUAUGGACUAAAACAAGCACCGAAACAAUCACAUAAGAAAUUUGAGAAAACUUUGUUGGUAUAUUUUUUUUAAGAAUUAGAAAAGUGAUAAAUUUUUUUAUAUUAAAAUCACAAGGUCAUUGUUUGUAUAUUGGUGAUAUAUAUUGAUCGUCAAUAGAGACAGUAAUGACAUAAGUUCUAAAGAUCGUGGAUUUACAGAUGUUAUUUUAGGUAUAAGAAUCCUUAGAACUCCAAGAAGUUUAGUAUAGUCAUGUUUUCAUUAGAUUGAAAUGAUACUUGACUAGUUCAAAUAUUUGAAUUUUAAUAUUGUCAGGACUCCAUUUAUGUGAGAUUUUCACUUCAAUUAAUAAAGGUGAAAGUGACUCACAAUUGGAUUAUGCUAUAGUGUUGAGAAGUAUGAGGUAUAUCAUAAAGAGUACGCGAUUACAUAUAUCAUGUGCUAUUACUCAAUCAAAUUCAUUGGACGACAAUGAAAAGUGUUUUGGUGUAUUUAGUAUAUACUGAAGCAUAUUUCUUGUAUUAUACAAAUAUCCUACAAUAUUGAAAGGAUAUAGUGAUGCAAACUACAUCACCAGAAUCAAAUGAAGUAAAAUUCACGAGUCGAUAUAUUUACUCUUGGUGGAGAGGCAUUCUCUUUUAAAUUUUCCAAACAGACGUGUAUCCCAAUAUCUAAAAUUAUCUAUCAGCUAGGUUCUCUAGAGAAGGCCGAUAAUUUCGUUGAAAGACACUGGAAUUUCUUGAUAGAUUUUGUUUUUGGCCCAAACCAUUUGCAUCAGUUUGAUUGUAAAGAUGAAAUAGGUAGGGCAUGAAUCAUGAUGUAUAAUAGAAAGUCUCAUUCUAUAAUACAUUGACAUGAUAUCGUUAGAAAACUACUCUGUAGUGGAAUUUCGCAAUUGACUAUAUAAAGUCAAAGGAUAAUAUGUCGGAUACACUUAAAAGAAGGCAUUGCUAGAGAGAAAUAUGAAAUAUCAUAUAAGGGAAUGGUUUUAUGGAUUCAGACAAGUCAUCACAGAGGUAACUCUAUCUAGCUAGAGAUCCCAAAAGCUAGAUUCAAGGACAAAAAUAAAGUUGUAAUUGACGGUUUGACAUUGUCAACCAAGUCAUUGCAUUCUCAGAAGGGAGAGCUUUUGGGAUUUGUUUUGGGGUUUUGAUUUGAGUUAGUGAUUGUGAGAGAAAACUGAAGGAAAAUAAAUUUAUAACCCUCCCCUAAAAUACGAAAAAGACACCUCACUUAAAUUAACCAUUCAGUGAAGUCAAACUCGAAUUCAAAUUUCAGAUUUUUUCUCGGGAAACAAAUUCGCAUUGCGGAGCUGCUCCCCCAAAAUUUUCAAAAAUAAUUUUUUAACCAGAAGAUUCUGCGAUGUGUUUGAUCGCAGACCAAGCUUUUGGACUUGGGUGUUCCAAUUCUGCGAUGCGGACUGGCUCCCUCCAUGCACAAAAGCUGCUGCCUCUUGGCAGCUUGCUUGGUCCAAAGAGGGGUCCACGCAAUCCUUGGGGGGUCAGACCGAUACAUUUUAAUCCUAUAUAUAUUAUUUUAACUAUUGCAAGCCUUUUAAAAAGUUUUAGACUCGACACAACACUCCUAAACCUAACGAAGACUUAAUGACGUUCACUAGUUAAAUUUUGCUAGUUUUCGAAUGUCAUGGUCGUUUCUUAGCGUUUUGGUUCUAACACUUCUUAGAAAAAUUUCAUACAGAUUUUUAGGUCUAAAAUCAUCAUUAGUUAUUUUGUGAAUAUCUAGUCUAGGUCAUAGAAUUUUUGGGGUGUGUUAAUACUUCCCCAGUAUGGAACAUUAGUCCCCGAAUGACACCUUCUGACCUUUAAAGGAAGAAAAGACUCAAGACUAGCAGCCCAACAACCAACAAUAUAUAUCAAAUGAGUCAAAGAUCAUUGGAUGAAUUAUCAACUCCUUUCAACAUAUAAUUAUAGCAUUAACACAUAGGAACUUAAUCCGCAACAUAUCACAUACAUACGCUCAACUUUUCAUAUCAUAAAAGGAGGAACUACCUUCUCCAUUUCAAUGUGAGCUCCAUAUGAACAUCAAGAAUUGUCAUGCAGAUUUCAUAUAAAAAAAACACCAAGUAUGCUCAAUACAGCUUCGAUGAAUAGUUAUAGCACACCACAUACUUAAGUGAAAGCCCACCAUAAGAAACACAUUUCAUGGAAAAGAAACAAAACUCAACUUAAGCAUGAAUUUCUACAUCAAUAUGCACAUAUUAGAAAAAAAAUGAUAAUCCAAUAUUAUUCAUAAUAAUAAUAUAAAGAACUACUAAUCUAAGCCCUGGGAUAGGAGUUAGAGGGAAAUACGUAAGGAGAGCGAGACUUCAUCACGACCUCCACCUCUCAUGUAGCUUCCUAAACAAGGUGGUUCCGCCAUAGAACUUUUACGGAGACAAGAUCCUUAAUUUGUCGUUCAAGAUGUCAAACGGGACCUCUUCACAAGAAAGGCCCUCUUUUACCCCUAAAACUUCCAGAGGAAGAAUGGGAACCAGUUUCCCUAUACACUUUUUGAGCAUGGAAACAUGGAAUACUGGGUGAAUCAUGGCCAACUCUUUGGGAAAUUUCAACUCAUAGGCCACACUCUUGACUCUCAUUAAAAUUUCAUACGGCCCCACAUACCGGGGAAUAAGUUUCCCAUUCUUUCCCAACCUCAUCACCCUUUUCAUGGAUGAAAUUUUCAAAUACACCCAAUCUCCCACUUCAAAUUCAAGUUCUUUCUUUCUAUUGUCGGCAUAAGAUUUUUGCCAACUUUGAGCCAUUUUUAGUCCAUACCUUAUAACAUGAACCUUCUCUAGGGAUUCAUAAACUAAAUUGGGACUUUUUAGAACAUACUCACCUACCUCAUACCACCGAACCUGGGAUCUACACCUCCUCCCAUAAAGUUUCUCGAAGGGUGCCAUAGAGAUAGACGAAUGGUAGCUAUUGUUGUAGGAGAAUUCUUUCAAAGGUAGUUGGUCAUACCAAUUACCUUUGAAGUCCAUAAAGCACACCCUCAAAAUAUCUUCUAUGGUUCGAAUAGUGCAUUCCGCUUGACCAUACGCUUGGGAUGAAAGGCGGUACUAAGUUUCACUUUCGUACCAAUCCCACUUUGUUAAGCCUUCCAAAAACGAGAGGUAAAUUGAGGGUCUUUACCAGAAAGGAUGGAUAAAGGGACUCCAUGUAGCUUCACUAUUUCCUUGAGGUACAAUUUGGAAUAACCUUCUGCCGAAUAAGUGACUUUGACGGGAAGAAAAUGUGCCGACUCGGUAAAUCUAGCCACAAUGACCCAUAUGAUAGUCAUGUUACCUUCAAGUACAAGGCAAUCAAACGAUGAAGUCAAUGUGAAUAUCAUGCCACUUCCAUGUGGGAAUAUCUAUAUUUUUAGUUAAGCCACCAGACUUUUGAUGUUUCGCUUUUACUUGUUGGCAAUUCGGAUACUUAGCAACAAAAUCCACUAUGUCCCUUUUCAUACCAUUCCACUGAUAUGUUUCUCGUAAGUUGUAGUACAUCUUUGUGGCUUUCGGGAUGGAAUAUAGGGAUCAAUGAGCCUCUUCCAUGAUCAAUUCCCUCAAUUCAUCCACAUCUGGUACACACAAUCUUCCUUGGUGCCUAAACACCCCAUCUUCUCCUUGAGAGAAGGACUCAUUAAAUUUACUAAGGAUCGUUUCCUUCAACUCAAUCAAUAGAGGAUGAAGGUGUUGCUUGGAUUUCACCUCAAAAACUAAAGACGACUAUAAGUUGUGGAAAACCAUCAUACCACCCUUUGGAGAGUCUUUUAGUUAGACACCAAAACGAGCCAACCUAUGAAUCUCUUUUACUAACUCUUUCUUAUGAUCAACCACAUGAGUCACACUACCAAUGGACACUCUACUCAAGCAUCCGCUACCACAUUACCUUUUUCGGAUAAUAAAGGACACUCAUGUCAUAGUCCUUUAAAAGUUCUAAUUAUCUUCUUUGAUGUAGGUUCAAAUAUUUUUGGGUUAACAAAUAUUGUAAACUCUUGUGAUUAAUGAAUACAUCAACAUGUACCCCAUACAUAUAAUGUCUCAAAAUUUAAAAUGCAAAAACCACGACCGCAAGUUAGAGGCAUACACUAAUACUUUGCUAUGUUGCAUAAACACACACCCUAGACCCUCUCGGGAGGUAUCACAAUAAACCACAAACUCGUCGGUACCCUCCCGUGAAGUCAAUACCUGAGUGGAGGUGAAUCUAUCUAUUAAAAAAUUUCUUCACAAAGUCCCGACCACUCGAACAUGGAUUUUUGUUUUGGGUUAAAGCCAUUAAAUGAGAUGCAAUAGAUGAAAAUCCCUCAACAAACCUCCUAUAGUAACUGGCCAACCCUAGAAAACUUCAGAUGUCUGUAGGAUUAAAAGGUGUUGGCCAAUUCUUGACCACUCCCGUCUUUCUCAAAUCAACCUCUACCCUUUCACAAGAGACAAUGUGGCCAAAAAAUGCCACCGACCUCAACCAAGAUUCACAUUUACUAAAUUAAUCGAAAAAAGUUGGUUAUCUUUGAGAACUUGCAAAACUAUCCUCAAAGGACACUCUUGAUCUCCUAGUAUAUCAAUAUAUCAUCAAUAAUGACAAUCACAAACAAAUAAACAUAAUUUCUAAAAACUCAAUUAGUAAGGUCCAUGAAAGUCGUCGGGGCAUUAAUUAGACCAAAUGACAUCGCUAGAAAUUCAAAGUGACCAUAUCUUUUUCGGAAUGCCAUUUUAGAAAUAUCAAUCCUAUCACUCUAAUUUGAUGAUAACCCGACCUCAAGUCAAUAUUUGAAAAGAAACUCGUUUUCAGGAGUUGAUCAAACAAGUCAUCAAUCCUAGGAAACGGGCACUUAUUCUUUAUUGUGACUUUGUUUUAUUGACGAUAAUCGAUGCACAUUAUCAACGACCUAUCCUUCUUAUUUACAAACAAUAUCAAGGCAUCCCAUGGAGAUAUGCUUAGCUGAAUAAAUCCCUUAUCAAAAAAAAUCUUUAAGUUAAGACUUUAACUUCUUCAACUCUGUCAGGGAUAUCCGAUAAGGAAGGAUUGAAAUAGGUUAUGUAUCAGGCAAUAAAUCUAUGGUGAGGUCAAUCUCUCAUUCAAGAGGAAUUUCAGGAAGAUCAUCGAGAAAGACCUCCGGAAAUUCCCUCACUAAGGGUACCGACUUUAUUGGAGGGACCUUUAUCCAAGAUCCCUAACUCUUACUAUGUGGUAGAGAGAACCGUUUGCAAUCAAUUUGCAAGCUUUUAGGAAUGAAAUAAUAUUUCCCCUAGGAUUUGAGUUUCCUCCCUUCCACUCAAAAAUGGGUUCAUUUGGAAAUUGAAAUUUGACUACCUUGUCCUACAAUCAAUAGAGUCAAAGAAGGCAUGUAACCAAUCCAUUCCCAAUAUGACAUCAAAAUCUAUCAUAUCAAGUACUAUCAAGUCAACUAAUGUAACUCUAUUGGGAAAUGAAAUAGGACAACCUUUAUAGACUCUUUUAGCCACCACAGAAUCACCUAUCAGGGUAGAAACCAUAAAAGGUUGUCUAAUAUGUCGGGUAGUAUUUAAAAUUUCAUGGAUAUAAGAGGGGUCACAAACUACAUUGUAGCUCCCAAAUCCAACAAAGCAUAUACAUUAAAGGAAAAUAAUUGUAACAUACUAGUAACCAUAUCCCAUGAGCUCUCUUGAUCACCUUGGAAUUGGAGAGCAUAAAGUGAUUCUUCUUAGGAGCAUCCGGAUUUGGGGAACUUGCUUGAGCUUGAGAAUUUUUCCUUCCUUGAGCUUUAAUCAAAGGGCAAUAUAUCUUCAUGUGAUCACUCUUGCCACAACCAUAGCAAUUACCUAUGCCAACUAGGCACUUACCAUCAUGUUUUCUACCACAUUUUGAACAAAAAGGCUUCUCAACAUAAGUACUACCACUUUUCCCCUUUUGGGGAUUAGGAGUAGACACCUUACUCUUGUUGAACCAUGGAGAAUUAGGACUUCCUUGGUUGAAAAACCUCCUUUUGAACCUUCGUUUGUCUUACACCUCAGAUUUAGUCUUGGAAGAAUUCCCAUCUUCAGUUCUUACCUUCUUUAACUCUCUACCAACUUUAUUAAGCUUUUGCUCCUCAAUUGUUCGGCAUGAACCAUGAGACGAGAUAUGUCCAUGCUAGGAAUCAACAUAGGCGACCUACACUCAUUGACCACAAGAUAGGAUAUCCCCAUGAAAGAUUUGUUCAUCUUAGCCCUAGAAUCCGCAAUAGUAGUAGGAUCAUGUUUUGAUAGUUGAGUGAACUUGAGAAUAUACUCCUUCACGCUAUACCCCCUUGAAGAAGGUUGAUAAAUUCUUGCAUUUUUUUCUCCCUUAAUUCCAAGGGAAAGAACCUAUCAAGUAAAGUUGUCUUGAUAGCUCCCCCAUGUAAUCCAGCCUUCUGUAACCAGCCUCAUAUCCUUAAAUUUCUCAAACCAUACUUGAGACACAUGUAUGAGUUGUUAGGCGGCUAGUUCUGACUUUUAUUUAGAAGAAACAUCCAUAGCAUCAAGAAUUUUCAUCACUUCAUCAAUGAACCCUUGUGGGUCCUCCUCCACCUUAGAACCAUAGAUAGUAGGGGGAUUCAUCCUUGUGAAAUCCCAACUCCUUGAAGUGGUGGUGUUAGCAUUGGGGUUCACUUGCACCCUUGUAUCGCUAGAAACUAGGGUAGCCAACACUUGAGUCAAGAUACGAACGGCGACCUUAUCUCAAUAUAGACAUAACCCCUUAUUAAAGAGGGACUUGAGGGUUUUGAGGACUUGAGGAGGAACUGCCUCAUUCAAAUUCUCCUCUUUGACCCUUCAAGCGUUGUUCCUUCUUUUAUCCAUUUCCUAUAAGCUCAAGAAAGAGAUUAUAAGAAAGUAUUGAAUAAAGCCAAGACUUUCAGGCACGACUAAAGAAUAACAAGAGAGUGAAAGUUCCUAAGCAUCACAUAGUCUCUCAUUCAUAAGUGUGGCACGCUUCACAAUUAUGAAUAAGACCCUAAAUAGACAUUUUUAGUGAGACAUCAACCCUAAGAUCCCUCAACAUCAUGCUCUUAUACCCAGUUUUUUACGAUCCAAAUUAAUCACUAGGUGUAACCGACGUCUUAGUCCUCGAAGAGGACUUAGAAAAGCCCUUAGCAUUCGUCAUAGCACAUCAUAGGUAAAGAAAAUAUGGAAAAAUGAAAAGUUUUCUUUUAAAAAAAUAUACUUAUACUCCUCGCAUAUCGCUUAUGGGGUUUACACCCCUCACUUAUGAAACUUACAUAGGCUUCUCACAUAGCAUUUAUAACUCACUUGGUCCAAUAGAUAGUCUAACAUUUAACUAACCACAAAGUGAAUCACAAUAGUUUGGGCAGUGACCUGGGUCAAUUACAAUAUGCCCAUAUAGGCUACAAGGAAGUCACAACAUGAGAAUGAAAUAAUUGUAUCAAAACAUAGAAAAAACUAAUAAGGCUUGAUGGGCUUCUCUAUCCUCGAAAUUCAUGAAGACUAAUCAAUCGACUUUAUGAAGAUCCAAGUCUUCUUAUCCAAUAGCUAUGAAUCUCCUCAAUGGUCCGAACCUAAAAUGUUUGGGAAAAAGGGAGAAAUAUGGGUUAGUACAAAUCACAUUUACUAAGUACGACUUCUAUACAUAAAAAUCAUUAAUGCAUAAGAAAAGGACAUUUUCAUAAACAUUAUGCUUUCUAUCAAUUAGACUCAACAUUCACACAUAUAUAAGCAUAGAAAGUUAAUUCAACAUAAUAUCAAUCAAACCAAGUAUACAACCCAAGCAAUACUUUUGCAAUGCCAAGGAUAAAUCCCCAUAACCCUAUCCAAAGAUAAGUAUCACAUUAAGAAACCCACUUCAUACUUGCAAGAUAUUCUCAUAUUUCCAUAACAUGCUUUAGACAUCAAUACUACUUAAAAUAAUCAUAAUCAUAAUCAUAAUCAUAAUCAUACUAAUAAGAGAACAAUAAUAAAACCAUCCCUUAGGAUCCCACAUGUGCAAUGUGUAAGAGAAGUUUCAUACUAUCCCUUAUAUUAUGUGGUAGACCUUAAGACAACCGUACUAAGACUUGACAUACUUAACAUAUUCAUUUACUUUUAGAUUAGGGAGAUAAGUGAAAUAACCAACAAGAGAAAAUGUGAGCUACAUGGCAUAUUGUGUUCUACUCCCAUAACAAAAAGAGAGGCUUAACACUUGUCUAAUGUGUAACCAUUCGUACGUAGCUAUCUAGCUGGAUGCACUAAGCUAGAGUCCUAUGUGGGCAAAUAGUUAAGGGUCAGGGAGAUUGUUGCUAGAAACCUUGACUUAGUAGACAUGUAGGUUUCCAUCUCAUAAGACAACACGUAACUAGGGAAUCCAAACAUACUAAAGUGAGGAAACUAUGUGGGAGGACGGACUUAGUAAAUGUGAGACCUCCAUCUCAUUUACAUGCCCUUUUACUUCUAAGCAUCUAUUCUCUUUAGUAAUGUUCAUACUCAUCAUACAAGAUCACAUUAGUCUCUUCUAGAACCCUAUGUGAACUUCUUAUCAUAAUAGAUCAUAGAAAUUCAUGAGUGAGAACUAUCCUUUCACUUUAGAGACCACAUAAAAGUAAGUAAACAUUUUACUUAAUACUUUAUCAUAUUAAUAUGAAACUACUUUCAAUCAUACAAUAAUCGUAACAUAACAUGAAUACGUAGCUCAUGUAUAAUUCAAUUUCCUAGGAUUAAGGAUGAGCAACAACUAUGAUUACAAAACAACCACACAUUAUACAUAGAAACAUUACUAUCUAAGUAACCCAUGAUUCACAAUUGAAUUUAAGAAGAACAAUUCAACAUACUUUCUUUUCCCCUUCCAAGAACAUUCAUACAUCCAUUACUAAAAAUACAUAAACAUUUACAUAAAAAAUGUAAAUUCAAGAAGAUAUUACAUAAUUAACAACAACAUAUUCGAUCUACAUGUUUAUGAUCUUCACAAUUCAUCAUAUCUAUUCAAGGUUUUCAUGAAAUUGGGGGAAAGAUAUGGGUCAAGUGAAAAUAUCAUAGUAAAUAAUCAAUUAACCAUCAAUAUAUACUUGAACAACAUAAUUCAUCACAAUUGAUUUAUAAUUUCAUUUUUCAAAGAAGAACCAUGUGAGAAGAAAAACCCUUAAGGUUCGUUCUUCUUGAAUUCAAUUAUCAUGUAUGAUUUACUUGUAAUGCGUCUAUGUAUAAUGUGUGGUUGUGAUUUGAUAGUAUGUAUUCCUUAACCUUAAACCUAGACUAUUGAAUUGACUAUUAAGUAUGAAAGUAUUUUAAGAUAUGAUCAUUAUAUGAUUGAAAGUAUCUUCUCAUGACUACGAUUAAUUGUAGAGUGAAAGUUUUACUCAUUUGUAUGUGGUUUUCUAAAGUGAAAGGGUAGUUCUCACUUAUAAUAUCUAUCAGCUAUUAUGAUGAAAUAUUCACAUAGUACUCUAAGAAGGGACUAAUGUGAUUUUGUAUAAAGAGUAUAGAUUACUACUAAAGGAAAUAAGUGCUUAUCACCGAAAGGGAACGUAAAUGAGAUAGAGGUUUAAUGUUUAGUAUGUCCUGCCUCCCACAUGGGUUUCUUCAUAUUUAGUAAGCAUGGAUUUCCAAUAUAUGUGUUGUCUCAUGAUAUGGAAACCCCCAAGUGAGUAUGUCAAGGUUUCUAGAAACAAUCUCCUUGACCCUUAACUAUGUGCCCACAUGGGACUAUAACUUAGUGGAUACACUUAGAUAGCUAUGUUGAUUGGUUAUACCUUAGGAAAGUGUUAACCCUCUCUUUUCGGUGUGAGAUGAUAACACAAAAUUCCAUGUAGCUCACAUGGUCUCAUGUUGUAUAUUGCACUUCUUUCCGUAAUUUAAUAAUUAAAAAUGAAUAAGUCAAGUAUGUGAGAUAUUACUAGGGGCUUAUAUUAGUUUUUACUACAAUGGGUGAGGGAGAGUAUGUGACUUCUAUUACUCAUUAAACAUGUGGGAUCCCAAUGGAGGUUCUUAGUAGUGGUCUUGUAUGAUUAAGUUGAUUUCAUGGUAUGUAUAUCAAGUUAUAUAUGACCUUAUGAAUCAAGUAUGUUAUGAUAAAAUAUGGAGUUAUGAUGUAUGUGUGAAGUAGAUGACUCAUUGUGAUAUUUAGCUUUGGAUAGGGUUAUGGAGUUCUAUUCUUGGCAUUGCACAAGUGUUUCUUGAGUUUCUUAUAUGUUGGCUCGACUUAUAAUGAUGUGUAUGUUGAUUUAAUUGACACUAAACAUGGUUUUCACUAAUUGUGCUUUUUCUCAUGCAUUUCAUGAUUUUAUGCUCAUGAACCAUAUUUAGUGUAACACUAUGAAAGUCUAAGACUUAUUUAAGAGCCUAACAUGAGUGUUUAAAGGUUGUAUCUUUGUUUACGGUCAAAUUUAAUGCUUAAAAUUCAUUUAAUAAGUUUUAGAUUCAAAACAUCAAGGAACGUCCAUGACGUCGGAGAGUAGUGCAAAAGGUGCUAGCAUGCCUUUGCAUAUUUGACUAGGUUUUAAGAGAUAGAAUAUGAUAAAAUUUGGUGGUAAGGUGUCUAACACAUAUUAAAGUUUUUUUUAGGGUCAAAACUUUUGGUUACGAAUCCUCAAGGACUUCCCAAAGGGUCCUUGAGGAGGACCAUUGCAUUGUGGCCAAAAGUUCUCUUGAGAUAGUCGUUAGACGGUGUUAUGCUACAAGGAUUGGCCUGAUCGACGAGGUGUCGAUGGCCACCAUCGAUGGGCACUUAUAAUUUUUGUAAAAUGUUCCAGUUUGGUAACUCGCUUACAAAAAUGACGACUACAUAAGACAGUGGGGGUCUUGGCCGUUGACUGACCUAUGGCCCAUAUGUCGGGGUCUCGUAAGUCAGGGCCACUAUUUUAUUGUCAAGUUUUAAUUAGUUAGUUUAAUUAAUUAAUUUGGUUAGGGGUUUAAUUAUUUAUUAUGGGGUAUUUAAUUAUGUUAGUUAAUCAACUAUAUAACCUACCCAAAGCCUUAACUCAACUAAACUCAUCUCAAUUCCCAAACUCAAAGUGCCCUUCCUUCUCUCUACUCUCUCUCUCUCCCAAAGAAAAUCCAACCAAAGUUCAAGGUAGGUUUUAGGGAAUAGAAGUCAAGUAUUGUUCCAUAAAUCUUCAUAAAAUACCAAGUUAUGGGAACUCUUCACCUUUUUGAUUCCUUUCGCCAAAUGUUUCUUCCAAAAUUGAUUUUCAAAAGACGAGUUUGAUGUGGGUUUCUGUCUAUUAUGAAUUUGAUCUUCUAAAUUGAUUUUUCUAUGGUUUAUUUUGGUUAAUAUUAUUUUAUUAAGAUUUAUUAUGAUUCAAUAAUGCUAUUUCUUGAUAUAUUGACCUAGUUUGUGGAGGAUAACCUUUUCCCCUACAUCCUAGGUUGUGAUCUUAAAUUGAAUUGUAUAGUAGUGAUGUAAUUUACUUGGUUUAUGUGUAAAUUACUAUUCUAUGAUGUUGUUGUAUCAGUUGAUGAAUGAAUUUGGAUUGCUUGAUUGUAAGACCAUGUUGAUGACUAUGGAAGAGGAGGAGGUAGGGGUUUUGUGUUCUUUAAUUCAUGACUUUAUCGUGAUGACUUAUACCGACUGAUGUUGAUUCAAGUUUUAAGAACAGGUCUAAUACUCAAGAGGAAUCUAGGAGUGCUAAGGUGAAAUUGGAGAAAAGAGGUCGUUCUUAAAAUGUCAAACCUACAUGUGUCACUUGUAGAAAGAGACAUUAUGGAAGAUAGGGUAAAAAAGUUUCUCCAAAUGUUUCAAAAGAUGAUGUUCAAGAAACGAGGCAUUUCUAUACACUCCGGAUUAGAGGAGAGAAGCCGGAUGAUGGUGAAGAUGAUGAGGUGUAGGGAAUUGGAAGUCUUGAUAUGCCAUGGAGGAUGGAUAGGUUUCUUAGGGUUAAAGAUGAAGUAUUGGUGAUUCCUCAUCGAUUCGAGGACAAUAUCCACGUGUUCCUUUAUAUCUUAGUCGUUAUUUUAUGUCUUGUAUGGGUUUAGUCCCAAUUGUUGUAUACUACAAAGUUUAUAUGGUACAAGGAGAUAUUGUAAAGGUUUAAUGUUCUAAAUUAAAGUCUUCCGCUUGUGUAAUAU